UGCUCCCAUUUUUUCCUUUUCUUUCUACUAACGCCUCCUCUCUUUCUUCUCUCCCCAAUCUCUUCUUUGUGAUCCUCUCUCUUUCUCCCCUUUGAUAUUCUCCCUGUGAUACAGAAAGAAAGCCAAACCAGCUCUCAGAAUAUCCCAACCUCUAUUCUCGAAAUCAGAGGUUUUGAAACUCUCUUAGGUGUUUUUCUUUUCUCACGCCUACCUUUUCUUAUGGAGGUCUUUUCCCAAACGAUCUGGACAGAUCCUUUUUCUUUCAGUAGCCCCCGGAUCUGAAAGAUCCGAAACCAGGCUCAACCACUCAAAACCCUAAUCUCUCGAUCCCUGUUCUCCCAAUAUCCUCACAUGUAGACUGAGUUUCUGGCAUGGCAGAGGAUAAGGAAUGCUCAGGUGUGCUUCGGAAAAGUAGAAGUGCUCAGUUCUCAACCCUGUAUGAGGAAAGAUAAGUCUCUCCCUCUCAUUACAUGUAUUUUGUUUUCAAAAUUUAACUUGAAGCUUGGUGUGUGCAUGCGGUUUGAGCGUGAUAUACUUAUAUUUUCUCUGUGAUUUUAAGAUGUUGUAUUGCCUCUAAUGUUCUAGAGAAUUUUGGAGAUGCGAGUCUACUAGGGCUGAUGAUUAGGAUUGGAGUGUAGGUCGAAGACAAGCUGACUCGUUUUCGACGCAGUGAGUUAGUGGGUGAGUGUCUCAGUCAAUUCGAGCUAGCUGAACCAAUGAGUGGUAUGAACUCAGGUGGGCCUUGGUGAGUGGAUUGGCACGUGUCUGAGACAUGUGCAGGUUCUGAGAUUUGGGCCUGAGCGAGGGAACUUUGGGCCUGAGUUUUUUUAAAAUUUUAAAAUGGGCUCAGUCAACUUAAAAAAAAGAAAAAAAAAAAAAAGCAGGCGUUAGGUUAAGUUUUUCCAAAACGGGCCUUAGUGGUUUUCAAAAAUGAUUGGGCCUCACUUCAUUUUAAAAGAAAGUGGGCUUAGGCUCUAAUUUAGAUUGGGCUUUGAUUUAUCAAAUGAACCUGGGCUCAUUUUCACAAAUCGAGUUACCCUCUUAUUUUUUUAAGACUGGUGAUGGGCAUGGGGCUGUUUAAGUAAAAUGGGCUUAGGCUCUGGGGGGUUGAUUUGAGCCUAAACAAAGAUUUGGAACCCGAACUCAAGCUCGGGUUAAGGGUUCGGGCCUGAUGGUCUAUUUUGUAAGUUCGAACCCCAACCCAGAUUCGAGUUUGAGGAAUUGAGAGUUCAGCUUGGAUUCAAUAUUGAACUGGAGAAUACGGUUGAGAGCACAUGUACUCUCAAAUAUGCAGAACCUAGCACAACUUUGUAGCGAAUUAGAAGAAAAGAGAAGGAAUUAGGACUUACAGACAGCCUUCCCACUCCUCUAGUCUUCCUCUCCAAUCUGUGUGUGCGUGUUUGUCUGAUUUGGGUCUCUGGUUUGGUAUCUUGAAUGUGUGGUGAGCUUGCUUCUGGUUGACCAAAUCAUUCAGUUCAAAAUGGUCUGGUUGACUAAAUCUCAGAAAAAUGGAAAAUCGUCCUUCGGACAUGCACUUUGGUCGGCUGAGUCUCAAGUUCAAAAAUGUCCUUAUUGAUCGAACCAUAUGAACUUCGGUCGACCUAAAUGAUUCUGGUCGACCGGAUCUCUUGGGUUGUCCUUAAUUUUUAUCGUGGUUAGCUUUUUUAAAUGGAGUUAAAAUAGUAAAAUAAUGUUAAAACUUUUCUAAUAAUUCCAUGUGUCCUUAACGGUUAUAUUUGAGGGGUUGUCUAUAUAUACCCCCUCAUUUGGAUAAUUUGAAGCAGAUUAGCAAAACAAUUGAAAAAUAUCCUUUAAUUCUCAAAAGCUCAAUUUCUCACAUCCAAACUAUAUUUUUUCAUUCUUACUUAUCCUCAUUGCAAAUCUUGUUAAGUAAGAGUGUUAGUGUGAGUAUCUAGUUAAGUUUACACUCUCAUUUGUUCUAGUUGAUUAAUAUAUAUUUUUAUUUGAGAGUAAGCUUGAAGUUUUUCUAGGAGACUUCAUUAAUAAGUCUUCCAUAGGAAAAUUUCGUAGAACUUGUGAGUUUUGCAUCAUCAUUGCAAUACUUAAGAGUUCGUAUUGCUUUUUGUUUGUGAAAUAAAUUGUUGCAAAUCGAUUCCAAAUAUCUCGUGUGAUUUAUUUUGAGAAAUAUUUUGUUGAGAUAUUUGUGCAUAUGCAAAAAGAUCUUUGUUGAAAUCUUUGAUUGAUUUUAUCUUCUUGAACACCAAGAUCAAAUUAUUUUAUAAACUAAAUCUGAAUAUCUCUUGUGGUUUAUAUUGAGAAAUAUUAUCUGUUGAAAUAUUUGAAGUGUACUUGUAAUCUUUGUCUGUGCAUUGUGAUUGAAAUAUUAUUUUGACACAAAAAUUCUAUCAUUUACACUCAUGCACUGAUUACUAUAUUGACAUAAAUAUUUGAGACUAGACACUCAGACUACAUCGAGCUUAUCAAAUCCUAUCUCUUGGUAUUGUAUUAAUUAGAUUGUGUUUAGUGGUACAUAAUUAGCAGUGUAAGAAGCAUUUCCUUGUAUGCAAAAUUAUAUAUACAUUUGUUGUAUUUUCAGGCACGGGUCUGAAGAGGGAGACUAGUCUUGGAAUAGUCUUGGAUUGGCUUAGACCCGGUUAGGAAAGUUAGGUGCGUCAUCCUGUUAAGGCGUGUAUGUAACGAUCCGAAUAAAAUGGCAUUUAAAUAAUAAAAGAAAGGGAAAUGGAAAUCGAAAACAGGAGGAAGAAGUCGACUUCGUCAACGACAUUGAACUUUAGAAGGAUUACGAAAAGGGGAUCUGCAGGUCUUCGUUGACGAAUCCUUUGUAUUCGUCGACGAAGAAAUACCGAGAAAGGAUUUUGAGCCGAUUGAAUUUCGUUGAUGAGGACUGAAUUUCGUUGAUGAAAUUAAUGAGAAUUCGUCGACGAAGGACGUGACUUGGUGACGAAUUUUGUUCUAUAAAUAUGAAAAAUUUGAUUUUUAACUUCUUUCAUAAUCCAUCUCUCAUCUCUCUCUCUUGCUCUCUUCGAUUUUGGCCCCGCCAGUGGCCGGAUCGAAGAUUUGAGGCUACCAUGACGCUCUUGGCGAAAUUCUCUACAAGUUUGCCAGAACGGUUCAUCAGGGAAACGAAAUUGGAAAUAAUCUCUAAGUUGAGGUAAGAUUUUAUAUUGAAUAUUUGGAUUUUUGACAGUUGAAGAAAGUGAUAUACGCGUAAAAAUACUGAAUUUUAAUUCUACGAGUUUUCAUUUUCAGGGUGUUAAGUUGAAAACCCUGCGGGUGCGGGGUAGGUUUUCUAAAGGGCUGUUCAGGAGUCCAGUAAGGGGAUAAAUUAAACUGGUUUGUUUUAAGAAAAUGUAUGUAUGUAUAUAUAUAGUAUCUAGUUUUAAGAAAAAUAAAUAUAUCUAUAUAAAUUAUUCAUUUUUGGAAAAUAUUGUGAAAAUGAUCGUAUGUUGAUUAUGUGAAAAUCUGUUAGUGUGGCAUGAGUAUAAAAUGUAUGAGAUACUGUUUCUAGAAAUGUGUUUAUGAUAUGAAUUUUUAUGAUGAAAAAUCAGCGUACAGGUCGAGAUUUUUAUAUGAUUUGUCGGCAUACGGAUCAUGCUAUGAUGUGAUUUGCCAGCGUACGGGUUAUGCUAUGAUGUGAUUUGCAGGCGUUCGGGUCGUGCUAUGUGAUUGAUUUGUCAGCGUACGGGUUAUGCUAUGAUAUGUUUCUCGGCGUAUGGGCCGUGCUACGAUGUCAUUUGUCAACGUACGGGUUGUGCUAUAAUAUAUUUGCCGGCGUACAGGCCGUGCUAUGAUAAAAUGUGUAAUACCAGCGUACAGAUCGAUGAUUUUCAUGAUACACGUAUAUAUGCAAAAUGAUAAGAUUGAUGUGAAAAUAAAUGAUAUGAUAUAUCUAUAUAUCACGAUUUUUGUAUAUGUUAAAUGAUAUCAGAACUUGAUUGGUUUGGUUUAGGCUAACACUUGCACGGUACCAUUGCUAUGUGUUCGUGGUUUUCGUAAUCAUGAUAUAUGUGUUAACGGCGCUGUACGGAGUGAUGUGAGAUUGGAUGGUCGAUGUGGUUUAUAAGAAGUGUGCUGAUCUCCCAUAGUGUACGGACUAGGUCUGGCAGACCCAUCAGACUUACAGACUAUAUGUUUGAUUUGGCAGUGGUCGGCUAAUCAUUGUCAGGUCCUGUCUUCAGGUCACAUAGCUCAGUCAUGUGGGGGUAAUACAUGAUAAUAGCCAGCUAACCUAUCAGAGAUGUUUUUGUAAUAUUAUUAUGAUAGGAGAUGAGAUAUGGUUAUGAAAUGCAGUAUGUUCUGUCAUGUUUUGAUAUAUAUUUAUGUUUUUCAAAUUUGAUAAAACAGUACUGAUUAUGUUAUGUAUGGUAUAUGUAGAAUACAAAAUACUCAUGUUUUCACAAACUGGUAUUAGUUUAUUUUCCUUACUAAGAGGUGUCUCACCCAUAUAUGUUAUAUACUUUUCAGCAGCCCCAGAUAGGAGAGCAGGAAAAGUCCCGCUGAUUUAGAGUUGUCUAUCUGCCCUUUUUGAAGGGUCGUGACAGUGCAGGUUGAGGUUAGCCCCGCUAAUUGACCUGAUUAAGGUUGAGGUUAGUAAUGUGCUAAUUGAUCUGAUUGUAAUCGGUGCCGCUCCACCAUUAAGUGAGCUAUUAGUGGAAUCUUCAAGUUUACGAGUUAGAGGUAGGGACGUAGGCACAGUUGGACGAACAUCGAUAACAUAUCAUGUGCUUUGUUUAUAUUUCUGCACUUUAUAUUUAUCGCACAUGUAUGCUAUGGUGUGAAUGAUGUGUUUGAUUUAAUUUUCACAUCAUAUUUAUCUACGCAUUUGAAAAUUGCAUAGACAAAUCUUAGGUUGUGUAUAUAUUGCUGUUGGAUAAAUUAACUUAGGAGAAAAAUUUAAAUUUUCAAUUCACCCCCCCUCUUGGGAAUACACUAAUUCUAACAUAGGUUUAGGUAUCUUGCAAUGAUAAUGCAAAAACCACAACCUUUAAAGUCUUCCUACACAAGAUUUAUCAAAUUAAAUCGGUGGAAGAACUUUAAUGCUAAACGCUCAAAUAAAAUCAAUUAAGUAAUAAUACAAAUGAGAGUUCUAGCUGGAGAAAUUAAGCAUAAUAGCCUUAGAGAUACUCACAAUGCUUAAAGAGAUCAAGAGUGUCUAGUAUAUGAGUGUUUGAAAGCAAUAUUGGCUGGAAAAUGAUUUUUGGAUUUGAGAGAAUUUUGACUUUAAUGAUCUUACUAAUCUUUUACAAAUUAUUCCAAAUAAGGGGGUAUAUUUAGACUUUCCCAAAAAUAUGAUCGUUAAGGAUACAAAUAGAAUAAUUAUAAAAAUUUUAAUAUUAUUUAAAUAAAUUAUCCCGUUUAAAAAAGUUAACUGUGGUAAAAAAUAUGGAGCAAUCCAAGAGCACCGGUCGACCAAGGUAAGUUCGGUUGACCCAAGUUCUUGGGGUUUGGUCGACCAAACCCCAAGAACUUGGGUCGAUCGGGUAAGAAAUGAAUCGCAAUCUCGGUUGACCAAACUUGUAAUUUUGAAUCCUUUUUGUGAGGUUCGGUCGACCAGGACUAAAAUGAACUAACUUGGUCGGUCGACCGGACUUGUAAGUCCAAGGAGAUUUUCCCAUUUUUGCAAGGUUCAGUCGACCAGGAAGAUUUUGAAUUGAGCCGGUCGGUCAACUAGACAAUUGAGUUCCCACACAUGGGAACUUGGUUGACUAGGUAGUUGGUAUGUAUGUUAGGCUCGGUCAACUAGGUGGUCAAAAUGUUGUCUCUUGGGGAGUUCGGUCGACCAGAGUCAAAUGAACUAUAAGAUUUUGGUCGACCGGGCUAUGGUCAACCUGCUGAUCUAGUCCUGGUUCGAUUGACCAGGUGAUAUUCAACUAGAAGAUAUGGUCGACCGAGUAUGCAUGUUUUGUGCAUUUCGAUUAUGCUUUAAUCAUUUAAUCACCUAUUUCAAAUGAUCAUUUAUAUACGUGCGAGAGUGAGUGUCCUAUGAUCAUUUUUAGUCUUUAUGAGUGCACCAAAAAAAUCUGGUCUCGAUCGACCAAAGGGUAUUUCCUAAGGUCUUUCUAUGGUCUGUGUAGGUACAUAAAGUCCAAUUAGGGUCGAUUCGAGCAUAUUUACCUACCAUGUAUGAUGCAAAUUAUUACAAACCAUAGGAGUGCACAGUUCAUAAUUAAUUUACAUCGUAGAGUGAGGAAAUGAAAUAAUGAAUAUAAAUACAUAGCACAAUUCUUCAUUAUUCGGCACGAACAUCGAACGCCAUCAUGAUGUCUUUUAGUCCAAAAGCACGUACAAGGUGAAUCUGCAUGCAAGUCUUAGUACAAUCAUCAGUACCAAGAGUAUUUGUCAUAAUCAAAACUGAGUGUGACCAAUCAGGUCAACAGGCUUAUUAGGUCAGACCCAAUGAAUUGGUUUGGGUCACCCAAUCAGAUUUGAAUCAGGUCAAAUCCCCCCUACAAGCUAUUUUCAUAAAAAUUAAACACGAAGAAAUUAAAAUAAGAUUAAGCCCUACCUCUGAUCUUUAAACUCUAUUAACUUUGAACUAGAUUCCUUUGAUUUCAAUUCCAAUUUGUUUGAAUUUUUGUGUGAAUGCUUCUGUGCAUAAAAAUUGCUCACCAUGAAUUUCUCUCUGAAUGCUUCUACGUCAAUGCUUUUUACUUCAAUGCUUCUGUGCCACUAUAUGUGUGUCUGAAUUCUCUUUUGAAAUGCUGAUCGCUGUGCUUUUUUUUUUUUUCUUCUUAAAUUCUCACACUUCUUGUAAUUAAAUUCUUCUUCAAUUCUCAUCGUGGCUCUUGCACUGAAUUUCUCACACACCUCUACUAUGUAAUGUUGUGUGUCCAUCCCCUUUGAAAUGCUCUCUAUUUAUAGACUUUCAAAACCUUUUUGGACUUAAUUGUAAUUAAUUUUGUUGGAAUUUGUGUAUUCCCACAAGAGGAGGGUGAAUUGGGUAUUUAAAAAUUUAUUCUUAAGUUUAUUAAAAUUAGCAGCAGUAAUACACAACCUAGGGUCUGUUUAUAUAAUCGUAAACUCAAUCAACACAUGUACAACAUACAAUGAAUCAGACAUACAACAUACAUGUGAUGAAAAUGAAAGUGUAGAAAAUAAAUUAGGGAAAUAUAAAGUACACACACGAUAUAUUAUCAAGGUUCAUCUAAUAUUGCCUACAUCCCCGCCUCAGCUCACAAGCCCAAAGAUUCCAUUAAUGCUUAUUUAAUGGGUGGAGUGGCACCGCACACAAUUUGGUCAAAUUCACAAGGCUGACCUUAACCUUUACAAAGUCUCCUUACAGGGCAGAGAAGGUCCUAGGUCAAAUUCACAGGGCUGAUUCCAACAUGAUCCUUACGGGUUAGAUCAAACCCACUCAAACCACACCUGGAAUACAACAAUGAAAUAUAAAUUUGUGUACAAUUCAAAUUGCUUCUAUCACAAAUAGAUUAUGUACAGAUACGCUCAUGUAAUAAUCAAUGCAUAGCACAUAGAUAUGAACUGUAAGCUUAGUGCCAACGAAGUGUAAUUACACUCUAUCUAAUGUUAAUAGGCAAUCAAGUGCAAGAGUAUAUUUUCAUACAAUCUUUGAAACAAUAAACCAAAGUAUAUCAAUCACAAGUAUGGUUUCAAAGAUCUCCAACAAGUGUAAUCAAAAUAUCUCAAAAAUGAUUUUCUCAAAAAUCUAGCACAAGAGAUAUUUGUAGUAUAAGCUUGUUAAAAUAAUUUUUACACAAUCAAAACACAAGCUUAAUGAGUCUUGCAAUAAUGAUGCAAAGACUCACUAGCUAAAAGUUUUCCCCACUCAAUGAGUUUAUUAGUUAAACUAGGGGGAAAUUUUUUGGCUAAAAACUCUAUCAAAAAUCAACAAGCAAUUAAACUAAUGAGAGUUUGUGUAAGUAAGAAUAAUAUGGAAUCACUCACGGAUACUCUCACCAAGUUUGAUUUAGCAAGAGAAUAACAAUGUGUGAGGGUAUAUGAUGUGUAUUGGAAAAAAAAUAAUAAUAAGCUCUCAAAAUAUUCAUAGGAUUUUUGGCUAAUCCAAUCACUAAUCACCUAUUAAUUAUGCAAAUGAACCCAUAUUUAUAGAUAUACCAAAAGUUAUGACCGUUGGGGACAUCAGGGGAAUUAUUAAAAUUUUUUAAAAUGAGUUUAUCAAAAAUAACUUUGUUAAAUCCCAAUUAAUCUCGAUAAAAAUUAGGCCAACCUGAGAGUUUCGGUCGACCAAGCCAUAGGUUUGGUCAUUGAAAUAGACACACGAGAAAAAGCAAGUUUUUCAUGUUUGGGUGCCUAAACAAUUAUUCGGUCUGCUGAACUAGGCGAUUUUUCAAAAUGUUUGAGGUUUAGUGGCUCGGUUCUAAGUUCGGUCUGCUGAGCUUACAUGUUCGGUCGCCCGAGCUCAAAAUGAACUUGAAGUUCGAGCGUCCGAGGACAUUGGGAAAAGUCAAGACUCGGGUUUGGUCGACCAUGGACAUUUAGUUCAAGUAGGUUCAGACGCCCGAGACACAGUCAACAUUUUGACCUUUCACCGUUCUGUCAACUGAGGCGUUUUCAAUGCUAGGGUUUGGUCACUCGAAUCCUUAAUAUUUUAGGAUCUAAGUAAUAUUAGUUCCCCUAAUUGCAUAUUGAAAAUGGGGAAAUAUUCUAAGUGUCUGUGUAAGGUCCUAGGGUCUUUUUAAGGUAUUUUUACCUAGAUCCAAAAAUCCGGUGUUGGUCGACUUUGAUCCCUAAGAUCAUUCAACGGUCUUGAGUUUAUAGGUUCUUACAUGCAUGAUAUGCAUAAAUUAUUACAGACUGUUCGAAUUUAAAAAAAUAUUACAGACCUGAAUUAAAAAUACAAAAAAAUUAAACACUUUGGGUCUUCUUUUUCUUCAAGUCAAUAUGUGCUGCCAUAUGAUUUUGCCAAUUUAAUCAUGCACACAAACUCUACAAACAUUAAAUACCUUGUAUUUGUCAUUAUAAAAAAUGAGAUAGAAUUCAAAAAGUCAACAAAUUUGUUCAAUUAAUUUCCAAUUUCAUCAAUCAUGCAUUAAACUAAUCCGCACUAUCACAUUAAUUUAUUUUAGAAUUCAGCGCUUGUUUUUUACCUCCUUCUCUCUUUGCAGGUUUCAUGUAAAUUGAAGACUUUACUCGCCCACCUCCAUUUUCCUUUUUUGCAUUCUCUGUAUUUUAUUUUUUUUUAUGUUUCUUGUAUUUGUUUUUUUUUUUGGUACUUUAUGUAUUUGUAUUUUUUUUUUUUGUAUUUAUGUAUAAUGAAAUUCUUGGUUUUUGUAAUAUAAGACCCCUAGACAAAUUAGGGUGUCUACACUAUGUCUCUAUCUUUAUUUCUGUUUUUUCUCACCUUUCCAUAGUUGUUACAGGUUUUGAUCGAAGGAAUAGCAAGAACAGGAAACUUCAUACUAGAAAGUCCACAAAGAUAAGUGUUCUUUCUUAUUCCUUUUUUUUUUUCUUUCGAUUUCUUGUAUUUUCUCAAGAAAGUUUCCCCAAAUUUUAUUAUUAGCCAAAAAACCAAUAAAUUGAAGUUUUGGGUUUGAAUUAAUUUAGUUCAAAUAACUGCCGGGUUGGAUAGCUUUCAGUUUAGGCUUUGGGUUUGGACUUGAUUUGGGAAUGGGGCGUAGGAAAAAUCAAUUGGGCUGGGUGUAACGACCUGAAAAGUUUUAAAUAUUUAAAAUAUUAAAAAGGAUAAUAAAGGAAAGAGGGAAAAUGGGGAAAAAGAAGUUGAAAAGGGAAAUAAACAGGCACUCGUCGACGAACUGGAAUUUUCUCGUCGACGAGCAAUCAUCUGAGCCUUGUCGUCGAGUAUGCAUGUUUCGUCGACAAUGGUUGACCAAGAUAGGGUUUUAAAUAUCUGAACUACGUCGACAAGCUCCCGGUCUCGUCCAUGAGUGGUGUUCUUGGGCUCAUCUGUAAUAACCUAAAAAAAAUGUAGAAUAACAAUAAUGGUCAUUUAAUUAGUAUCAAAAUGAAAGUGUUUCUUUAUUAAAAUCCUUGAUUUCAUAUUUGAUGCUUAGGAAAUACCUUAUCUAAGCGAGUGCUGAGAGAUCAUUGCAGCUCAAUCACUCCCUAAAGGUCGGUUUAGUCAAAAUGAAAUUUCGUAGGAUAAAUAAGUACAUAUACAUAAAAUAAUAUUUUGACUGAUAUAAUUCGUAAAAAUAUAUGAUAAAAUAAUAAUAAUAUUGGUAUCUUAUGUGGAGCUCAUAAGACCAUGCAAAAUCCACAUGAGUUCCGAAGCCGUGUGAGGGUCCACAUGAGUCUCGAAACUGUGUAGGAUUUAUAAAAUCGUAUGAAAACUAUUGGAGUUACGUAGGAUCCACUUGAGUCUCAAAGUUGUGUGGGGCCAAUGAGACCAUAUGGGGGCUCACAUGAGUUUUUGAAAUUCAAACUUAAUUCUUUUUAAAAAAAUAAAAAAAUACUAAAACAUAACUUAGAAAUAAUAAUAAUAAUAAUAAUAAUAAUAAUGAUUUUUAAAAAAUAAAAAAAAUAAAAAAUAAAAAAUAAAUAAUUAAUUAAGUAAAUUAAUUAAAUGGGAGUGUCGGCAAGCACUCCCAUUUCCCCCACAUGAUCUCCUUUCUUAUCCAAUACCUAGCUCAUACCUAUCUCAUGUCAUGCCCAUUCUUUAAUUUUAAAAAAAUUAUAAUUUCACUCAUCUCUCCACACUUUUAUAAAUUUAAUUUUCUUUCCCAAAAUUUUCUUAUAAAUAAGAAAUUCUCAACCUUCAGUUUUUACAAAAAAAAAUUUCAAAUGAAGUAAAAGAUUAGUGAAUGAAAAAAUUAGUGGUGCAGGGAGAAUUUUUGUUAUAAUUAAAAUUCUCACUCACCCACUCUUUCCGAUCUCAUUUUUUGAAAAGAUAUUCAUUGUGAUUGUAGCACAAGAUUAAGUAAGAGGUAUGUAAAUUUGAUUAUGUUAUAUUUUUAUUUAAAAUUUAUACCCGAGUUUAUUUGUAAAUAUAUUCUGAUUAUGUUAGUUUCAUGAAAUUAUCCUGAGUUUCUUUUUAUACAUAUUUAAUUAUACAAGUUUUAUUUUUAAUAUAUUUGUAUUUAUUUUUUAGUUAAGAAAUGUUCUAAAUCCUUUUGGUAUUUUACAGCAAUAUUUUCUAUUUAAGAAAAUAUUUUUAACAUGAAAAUUAUGUGGCAUGAGUUUAUUUUUACGUGACAUAUUUUAUGAAAAUAUGAGUAAAGAUGACAUGAGUUAAUUUUUACGUUGAGUAUUUCAUGAAAAUACAAAUAAAAGUGAGACUUUUAUAAUAUUAUUUUAGUUGUAUAAAUUAUAUAAUAAGAUGUUUUCAAAACUCUUUAUGGCUCAGACGAUAUAGAAAUUAUGAAUGCUUGUUACCGUAACUUAAAGUUUAAAAGGAGCAGAGUGCACCGACAUUGUUUAUAGAGUGGUUAUGUAUCGUAGUAGAUUUUUUCUGAGUGCACACCUGAUUCCGGACCAGGACUUAAUAAGGAUAAUCUCACUUAAUGUUUAGGUACAUUGAUUUAGUUUGACUGGCCAGCCAGCUAAGUUCAGUAUUCAAAUCGCACAGCCUAGUCAUGAGGGUAAACAUGACUUACGGCUAAUAGACCUAAGGGUGAUUUUUACAAUAUAUGUUUAUACAUAUUUAAUUAUGUGUACAGAGUUAUUGAUGAUUUGAAAGAAAAGUAUAUGUUUAUAUGAAUAAGGUUAAUCCAUUUAAAGGAAACAUAUAAGAAAAAGUAUAUAUAUGUAUAUAAUUAAAUAUUUUUGUGCAGUUUUAAAUUUAAAAGUCAUAGUAUAUGGUUAUUAAAUUUUACUGUUAUAGUUGAUAAAAGUUUUAUGCAAAAAUUUUUAAAUUUACAUUUAUUUUAGAAGUAGUUUUGAAGUUAUGCUAUUAAAUAUUAUUUUACGAAAUUAUAUAAGCUCAUUUUGGCCACAAACUAAUAAUAAUCUUUUUUACUUACCGAGUAUUGUCUCACCCUAAUCAUGUUUUAUAUUUCAGAUAAUUUUAAAAGACAUAUCGGAAAUCAGGCAUAGCAAGCAUGCCGGUGGAAAUAGAAAAAACAAAAAAAAAAGCUUGAUUAGUAAUAUUAGUAUGAUGUCAGAUGAUUAUGUUUUUAUAAUUUUUCUUCUUUUGGAAUAAAUUAUUGUACUACGGUUAAUUAGCGCUUUGGUUUAAUAAUAAUCAAGUUUAUUUACUUCCACUAUAAAUUAAUGGUAAAAAUUAAACAUUCCAAAUUCUUCGCGGUUUGAGGUAUUACAUUGUCGAUGAGAGCAGAUGUCUCGUCGACGAGGCCACGUGGCAAGUUGCUUAUAAAUAGGAAAAAAUCAGAGAGGAAAUUUAUCUUUCUUCAGUUUCUCUUUCUAAACCACGGCUUUUCUGCAUUCUCAUUUCGAUUCCAAGCUCGAUUUAGUUCGGUUCGACGAUCAGAAGCUACCACGAGACUCCUGGGAAGAUUCAAUGCAAUAUGGGUGGAGCAGAGUUUUUAUUUUAAAAGUUUGGGAAACAUCCCAAAACCAAGGUAAGUAUGUUAUUUUGAAAUUUUCUUAACAAAUAUGGUUAUUUGUAGCUUAGAAAGCAUUAAAGGGGUAUUUUUCUAAGAUUUGAAAAAAUUGAGAUUUUUAGAAUACAAGGUCUCGUUUGGAUUGAUUUUAGGUCGAAUCUCGAGGAGUAAGUAAGGGGAAAUAUUUAAAAUAGCUCCUUAAUAAUUUUAAAAAGACUAACUUUGGGUAUAAUUUCUACAUAUUUAGGUAUAAUUUUCUAAACCAUGCUGGUAUUGAAAAUACUAUUUUAAAAUAUAUAGUAUAUUGGGAAAAAUUAUGUGGCAUGAAAAUAGCUUUGAAAAUUAAAUGGUUGUGAGUACUGUGGAGUGAUAAUUUAUGGUGAUUGUGAAUAUUGUUUGGCUGUGAUUUCUACUUGGUUGAAUAUACUGGAUGGUUACGGAUAUUGCUGUUGUGUAUACUGUGGUAGAGCUGUGGGUGUGUUGAGUGAUUGGUUUUGCUGUUAAUUUGUGUUGCAGUUUAUGUAAAUUGCGAUAUAGCGUUGGCAGUGGCAUAAGGAGGUCGUUAUAUCGUACCUGGUAUAUCUGUCAUAUAACGUUGGCAGUGGUAUGAGGAGAUCGUUAUAUGGGUGUUUAUAUUUGGAGGUAAACAUUGAUAGUGGUAUGAGGAGGUUGUUUACCUAUUUACCAUGAACAAGGUGUUUGUCUUGUAACCUCUGUGGAUUGAUUAGUCUUGUGUGGAUCAGUCCUAUGUGGACAUGUAUGUUGUAUGAUUGAUUAGUCCUGUGUUAACUAGUCGUAUGUGGACAUGUAUGCAGUAUGUUUGAUAGUCUUGUGUGGACGUUGUAAUCUGUGUGUUUAUGGACCCUGUGUGGGUAUGAUUGAAGACUGUUUGGUUUGAUUGUGGUUUGCAUUUGUGUGUAGAACUCUGUGAAAUGAAUGGCAGUGAUUGUGAGCAACUUUAAUUAAGUGUUUACGAUAAAAUAGAUUACUCCACCCGAGGGCUUGCUGAGGAAGGCGAGUAUUCUGAUAAUUAUUUGUGGAUACCAAAGUAAAGGAAAGCCACUUGUAUAGACGGAUGAUCUUCCCUAUUUUCGAAAACUUUACCUAAAUACAUAACCCGAUGACUUACUGAGAAAGGUGAGUGCACUAGUGUUAGCACUAGAGUAGAGGGAAUCUACUUGUAUGGGCGGGUAGACUUCCCUAUUCUCGGGAAUUAUCAGUAAAAUAUUUAUGUAUGUGGGCAUGUGAUUGGAUGAGAGAGAAAUUGACCAUGGUGUGUUUAUGAACGCAUUAUCUUGGUUGCUAUUGGAUUAUGAAUGCGUAUGUAUGAAUAUUUUAAUUAUAUUUUAAGCACUUCAGCCACACACUGAUGUAAAUUAUUUCUUCCUUACUGAGAGGUGUUUCACCCCGUUGAUGAUUAAUCUUUUCGGGUUAUUUAGGUGAUCGAGCUUAGAUAACUACAGGGCGGGGUAGUUUUGUGAGUUGAAUAUAUCAGAACAGUUAUAUAUUUAGUUUUCUAUUUAAUAUAUUUUAAUUCUGGUUUUGUAUUAUGAAGAAUGAGAUAGUAUUUAUAUGGGUCUGCAUAUGUAAAUAUAGAACUCAAGUAUAUUUUGUUGAGGAUAUUUAAUUAAUUUCGUUGCGUGAUUGGUAUCAGAGACGUGUGUUUGGUCUCUUAACACUCCAGAUCCCAUGUGGCAGGUACGGGGUGUUACUCUGGGUCCUAUUCAUUUUGGGAUUCUGAGCUUAAACUAACUACUUGUACUGAAAUUAACUAAUUGGGCUACGCCUAAUUUAUUUUAAGAUACUAGGCUUAGUAUUGGGUCAAUAGUUCAAUAGAUCUAGAUCCAACCUAGACUUGAGUUUUGGGUUAAUGGGUUGGGUUAAUGGGUCAAUCAAGUCCAACAAGUUAUGGGUUAUGGGCCAGUGGGUGGAAUCCAAUCCAAUGGGUCGGACCUUGGGUCAACGGGUUGAAAUAACGGGUAAAUUUUAGGACCCAAGUUUGCAUUUCCAAUCAUUGGAUCUUCCAAAAUUUUUAAAAUUUAAAAGCAAAAUUAAGCACAAAAAUAAAAAUGAGACACCGUAGUCUUUAACUCCUUUUGUCUUUAGGUUUAAUGUGAGUCCUUCAAUUCUUCUUUGAUGCUAGUUUUCUGUAGUUCUCAAAUUUUCAAGUUCCGACUCACAAACUCCAACUGCUUGUGCCUGAGCUUCUCUAAAUUCUUUCUUUUUGUUCACAGUAUCUCAAAUUCCCAAACUCUAUAUAGCUCUCCCUCGAUUAGAACUCUCUGAUUUUCUCACAAUUGCCUCUAUGAUUUCUCUUUGUGAUUAUGUGUCCUAUUCUUCUCAGAAGGCCUCUAUUUAUAGGCUUGAGAGCAUUGACCAACAUUGAAUUUGAUUGAUAAAUAAACAUUUAAACUAAUCAAUCAAAUUAAAAAUGAAUUAAUCAACUUUAUUGUUAAUUUCCUAAUGGCUUAUUCUUUUAUUUGUGUGUCCUAUCCCUCUCACAAAGCCUCUAUUUAUAGGCUUGAGAGCAUUGACCAGUAUUGAAUUUGAUUGAUAAAUCAAAAUUUAAACUGAUCAAUCAAAUUAAAAAUGGAUCAGUCAACUUUAUUAUUGAUUUCCUAACAACUAGUUCUUUUAUAUGUGUGUGCAGCUGUCAGCGUGGAGAAUUAAAGAACCUAGAUCCCCGUCUUUAUUAUUUUUUUCCAUUUGUAUUUUUACUUUCAAUGUAAAAUUUAAUCAUGUAUUUCAAUUUUUUUUUUCUUUUUCUAUAUUUUCUUCAUUUUAUUUGAAUAAAAUUUGUACAAUUUUGUUAUAUUGGCUCCAGACAAAAUAGGAUGUCAACAUUAAUUUUAUAAAUAUUAAUCAAAUAUGUUACUGUUAUUUAAUUUUUAAUUUCUAUUUUUGACUUUUGAUUUUCAUUUGUCUAAUUUUUUUUAGUGGUAUCUAAUGAAACUUAUGAGUUUGUCUCAAAAAAGUUAGUCCGCGUGUCCUAACACUCCAAAGUCCUAACACCAGACCAACCCUAGUUUUUAAUUAACAUUAAACAAAAUUGAAAUUAUAUGUCCGUCCACCACACAUGACUCCGGUCAACGGUUUUUGGUAUAUGUGUACGUAGGUGUGAUCGAGCACAGUUCACACCUAGCUAGAAUAGAAAACAAUAAUACAUAUAAAACCAGCAAGUUGGGAUAAAGAAAUGAAUUCUCGGUGACGGGUCAUUUUCAUGGGAACUAGUGAAUUCUUUGACUAAUAAGGCCUGCACUCAGAAGAACCAAUCUAUAAAGGGGAAUGGAGGAACCCCAUGUCUCUCACAAACAGUUCAGAAGAUCGAGGACGGACUAGCUAGCAGAUAUAGCAGAGCAGGGGCUUGUUUCCAUUAACUUUUGGUGAAGAUCGAUGGGGAUUUGGUUAUAUGAUGUUAUGAAUAUUUCAAGGAAAGGUUUGCUCUUAGAGAAGUCUGCUUCAACCCGACAUUUAAAUGACAUCACCACCAAAAUCGACGAAGAGUGCGGAGACUGGAACAGCGAUUGGGUGUUUUAUCACGAUCGCGGGAGGAUACGUGUGAGAGUGUUCGAUGACGGCGGCUGGGGGCUGGUGAUUCAUAUUAAACGAGACGGCACGCAAGAUUUAAUCCAAAAAUGGGAUAUACUAAAUAACCAUACGAGAAUUCAUUUGGUUUUCGGCCAAAGUAAGAUUUGGUUUUAUCCAACGGUUCAUCCUUUAAAGAAAGACGGAGAGCAGCACAAGGCAUGGGUCUUGCAGAUCGAGAAAAACUGGAGCUGGCAGCCGUGCGAUGCGUAAAUUAAGUAAAGCAAGGAGUUUGAUAGGCUUGUUCAUUUCGUGCUUUUGCUUCGUUGGCUUUAUCUUAUCGUUAAUAACGGGGUGUUCGCAGUUUUACGACCGUUAAUAUGUAUGUUUCCGCUUUGUAAAACUAUUUCUGCAUGAAUUAAUUUUGUUUUUGGUCAA